UGGAAUCCAGAGUAGAAUUUAAAAUCCUUGUGCUGAUAUACAAAGCCCUUAAUGGCUGAGCUCUGUCAUAUCUUAAAGACCUCAUGGAACCAUAUUAUCUCAACAGAGCUCUUCUCUCUUAGUGUGCAGACACAGGUUAAUCUGCUUAGGAAUCAGCCCCCAGUUUAGGUUUAUGAGACAGACAGCCUCUCUGCUUUUAAGAUUAGGUUUCAAACUUUCCUUUUUGAUAAAGUUUUUAGUCAGAGCUGACUCAGGUGACCCUAAAUCAUGUCUUAGUGUUGCUGUAAUACACACAGACUGUUGGAUGACAUCACACGGUGCACUGAGCACCACUGUUCCCUCUAAGCUACGCGCGUGCACAAUUGCGCACUGCUGACACGGUCUUCGCGCACAGAAAAUCUGCGCUGUGCACAAAAAAAAAUCCAACCUAAAUUGUAAAUAAAAUAAACAGGUAACAAUUCAUUCUGUGAUAUUUUUCAGUGUGAGUCAGUGAGUGACCGGUGACUGGCUGCUGCAGCCAAUGAUGCGAUUCACAUACGUAUUUACCAUAGACUGUACAUAAUGGUAUUUACGCAGCUAAUCAACGUCAUUGACAGGCGUCCUUAUGUGCAGCCAUCGUUGUUCUCAUAGAUAUGAAUGAGUAGAUAGGACACGCCCCUUUGAGCUGCGUGCUACGGCGAGGCUAAGCUAGUGGGGGAAAAGUUUCAGUGCAUUCUGUUGAUGUAGACGGCGUGAAAACGGAAACAACAAGUAUGCCGGCUCACUGUGCUGCAUACAACUACACACUACGUCGUACGAUUGAGACAAGGAAACUUGGAAUGACUUUUCAUAGGUUUCCCAGAGACUAUGGGUUGAGGAGGAAUUGGAAGUUUGUCGGCUUAGACCUGGUGUCAUUCCAUCAGUGAUAAACUUCCCGGCUCAUCUUGGAAGAGUACGUGCCAGAAAGACCACGACCAAGCAGCCUUGAGAUCUUAGACAGCGUCUCCCUGAGGUCCCUCUCUAUCUCCCCACACAUCCACCAACCACUGGAACACAUCUCCAAAGUUCUGCCGGGCCAGCUCAGCUUCCCCUCAGAAGAAGUGCCGCCACCUGCCAGAUGAAGGAGCCUUUUGAGAGGCAGCUGACAUCGUGAUUGGACUGUACUUUGGUCUGUUCCAAUCCAGCUUCAGCUCCAGAGACGGCAGGCGGGACGAGUCAACGGAGGCCUGGUGGACGAAGGCAUGAAGCUGAGUACAAUCCAGAAAACAACAGAGGAGGAGUGCAGCAUCCCAGAGCCAGAACAAGCAGAGUAGCAUCGUAUGUCUCUUAGAAAACAUCAUAGUAUAGCCUUUGCUAUGAAAAAACGCCAUCAUAUACAUCAUAUAUUGUACAAAUAACAAGUCAAAGGAAAAAGACAUACAUUGUAGAAUUGUAGUAACUGAGGGCUGACGGAUUUACUGAUUAUCAAUAUUAAAUUUUUUACUGAUUUACGGUAAUAAAUACAUUUAAAAAUGGUGCUACUUUGGCUCUAAACCUUUAUCUACCUGUGGUCGCUCUGUCUUCUGGAGUGAUUUGAUUGGUUAGACGUAACGAAUAAAACUCCUUUAACUUAACAUCUGUAAACAAGACAAAAACGUAUCAACAAAGUUUUCUGUUAGAGUUUGUGUUCUUCUAAGUUUAACUCAAGAUUUUAAAUACUUUCAUUUACUGCAAAUGAAUAUCUCCUCCAAAUGUCUCACUAAUAAUCAUUAUCAGCCUUAAAAACCCACAAAACACCCCUCUAUACUGGACCACACUUAGUACAGUCCGGUUCCCCCUUCUAUAAAUCUGCUUGGAAUCUUCCACUUCCUGUUUGUCAAAGUGGCCUUCUACCUGGACAGGUUUUGUUGGAGCUCAUGCAACAAACAUUUUGGGUAACUGCACUUUAAUAUGG